rnacentral:rRNA from 1 species
UACGGGGGGGAGCAAGCGUUGUUCGGAUUUACUGGGCGUAAAGGGCGCGUAGGCGGUCAGCACAAGUCAGUUGUGAAAUCUCCGGGCUUAACUCGGAAAGGUCAACUGAUACUGUGCGACUAGAGUGCAGAAGGGGCAACUGGAAUUCUCGGUGUAGCGGUGAAAUGCGUAGAUAUCGAGAGGAACACCUGCGGCGAAGGCGGGUUGCUGGGCCAGUUCUGACGCUGAGGAGCGAAAGCGUGGGGAGCGAACAGG